GGCGGCGUGCUUACACAUGCAAGUCGAGCGGUAAGGCCUUUCGGGGUACACGAGCGGCGAACGGGUGAGUAACACGUGGGUGAUCUGCCCUGCACUUCGGGAUAAGCCUGGGAAACUGGGUCUAAUACCGGAUAUGACCUCCUGUCGCAUGGUGUGUGGUGGAAAGAUUUAUCGGUGCAGGAUGGGCCCGCGGCCUAUCAGCUUGUUGGUGGGGUAAUGGCCUACCAAGGCGACGACGGGUAGCCGACCUGAGAGGGUGACCGGCCACACUGGGACUGAGACACGGCCCAGACUCCUACGGGAGGCAGCAGUGGGGAAUAUUGCACAAUGGGCGAAAGCCUGAUGCAGCGACGCCGCGUGAGGGAUGACGGCCUUCGGGUUGUAAACCUCUUUCAGCAGGGACGAAGCGCAAGUGACGGUACCUGCAGAAGAAGCACCGGCUAACUACGUGCCAGCAGCCGCGGUAAUACGUAGGGUGCAAGCGUUGUCCGGAAUUACUGGGCGUAAAGAGUUCGUAGGCGGUUUGUCGCGUCGUUUGUGAAAACCAGCAGCUCAACUGCUGGCUUGCAGGCGAUACGGGCAGACUUGAGUACUGCAGGGGAGACUGGAAUUCCUGGUGUAGCGGUGAAAUGCGC
rnacentral:rRNA from 1 species